UCGGUACUACAAGAUAGAGAAUGCUCAAGGUAAAGUAGAAAAUGAACACCAAGAAUUUAUGUGGUUCGGCAAUUUAUGCCUAUGUCCACGAAACAAGGAUCAAUCUUCACUAUAUGAAAAAGAUGAGUACAACAAGAGUAGUCUUACCAAGCCAAAGACAAGGCUUGAUGGAUACAAGAAAGUAUGACACACACUUUCUAUCACUCUAAACUUCACUCACAAUGUGUAGUGGAACACUCUCACUCUCACUCUCACUCUUGGAGUGGAGCUCUAGCUUUGGACUUUGCUACUCACACUUGGUUCUUAAUUAGUUACUUCACUGCAACAUCACCCAUAUUUAUAGGUGAGGGUUUGACAUUCUACUAGUUUCUAGUGUAUUCACCUCUAGCAUAGAUAAUUCUAGACUAGCCACAAAAUUGUAGCUUCUAGAUCUUUU
rnacentral:lncRNA from 1 species